UACGGAGGGUGCAAACGUUGUCCGGAAUCACUGGGCGUAAAGCGCAUGUAGGUGGUUUGGCAAGUGAGCGAUUAAAGACUGACGCUUAACGUCAGCAAGGUUGCUCAUACUACCAGACUGGAGUGUGGCAGGGGUAAGCGGAACUUUAGGUGUAGGAGUGAAAUCCGUAGAUAUCUAAAGGAACACCAAUGGCGAAGGCAGCUUACUGGGCCACUACUGACACUGAGAUGCGAAAAGUGUGGGGAGCCAAACGGGG
rnacentral:rRNA from 1 species